AAUCCGGUCGUUACCAGUUUCUUUCCCCUUCUCGACUCUUCCCCUUGAUACAGUAGAGAGGGCGACCGGGAGGGCGAAAACCAAAUCCGGAGCCAAAUCCACCGGUUCUCCUCCUCUCCGGCGUCCUUGCCGGCGCCGGAGAGGAAGGGAAACCGGAGGGAUUUGACUGCCGGCGUGUUUAUUACCUUAUAGCUACUUCAAAUAGCGGUAUGGUAAUAAAAGUUGGCUCGGCAGCGUCGAUCCAGCGGCGGCCCGGCCUUCUGCUCCUCCGCAUCGGCGACAAGCUCGGCUCCGGCAAAAGGGACGUUGAUCUGGUCGGCUGCGUGUGUGAGUCACCACCGGAGUGAUGGCGCCCAUGGUCGUUCAGCGGGCAUAGUACGUUGCGGUGGUCGAGCUGCAAUGUUGGCUUUUGCGGCAUCUUCCAAUGUUUGGAGCUGUACUUCGGUGUGGGCUUGUGGAUCUUGUUCUGGGCUGCCUGUUCCUCGUCUUCCCGUCGUCGUUCGGCGGCGUGGUGUGCGACGGCGGUGUGCGCCGGAGGAGUGGGUUUGUACUGUACUUCACUUUGCAAUAUAAUCCCAUUCCGAUCGAAAAAAAAACAACAAA